UCCACCGAGCUGCUCGCACCGCUUUCCGCUGGUUUUUCCUUCCGAUUUUUUCUGGCUCCUUUUUUCCCGGUCAAUCCCACGUUUCCGAACUAAUCUAGAUCGUGUGUCCUCGGUCCAUUCAGUUCCUGGCAUUGCCAGUUCCGUAGUCGCCGCCCUCGCUCUGCCGACCCCGACCGUGACGCAUCGCUGCCGGCGCAAGGUGCCCCUCAUGCCCUCGGCCAUCCGAUUCCCUGCACCCCAACGCCGCCAGCGUGCAAGCCAGCAUUGGAAGGACUCCGUUGCGUGAAGAACGGAGCUGUUGCAGAUUCCGCUUGUCUUCGCCAUCGCCGUCGUAUGUAUCCUGCCUAUGGUUGAGCUCACGCGCCUCGGCAGAUCACUCCUCCUAGCCUUCCUCCUCCCACCGUCCGUCUCCAACGCCUUGCUGGUUCGGCAGUCGGCACCAAGAUUCUGUGGUGGCAUCGAUAGACGCGGAUGUGGAAUUUCAGUUACAGCUGGACUGCAGGAGCUCGGUCAAGCUGCUGACAUAUGACGUGAAGGUCAUGGCAGCAACCAGUGGUCAGCAUGGUUGCAGCAGCUUAUUGCGAUAGGCGAUCCAACCGCACAGGCAUAAUAUUUAUUUGGGUGCACAUGUGCUGCUGCAUCUUAGAUGUAAGUACUCGUGCCUGAUGGAGGAUAUGAGCAAGCAUGCCAGCAAGCUAAGAACAGCUCGUCCUGAUCUUUACCUACAUCCAUCUUGGCUAAUAUGUCGACCUGUCGAGGCUUCGCUACCAGGUCCUUUGCCAUCCUCUUGUUCGGCGUGUGGACUGUGGAGCACCCUCCUGGAGUCCUUCCCAGUACAAUGCUCGUGGACACUUUGAUUUUGCGAUCUUCAACUGUUGAAUGCUCAAAAUUUCUCAGUGGAGCUUCUUAUAUGUUGGACAUGUCGUGUCACAAUAAUUUCAAUAUGAGCUGGCAAUCACAAAAUCAUUGUAUUCAAAUAGCAAUAGGUUUGUAUUUAAUACCAUGUCUGUCACGAAAUAUUUGUAUUCAGAUUAUAAAGUGCUUGCUUUUAACCA